rnacentral:rRNA from 1 species
GACGAACGCUGGCGGCGUGCCUAAUACAUGCAAGUCGAACGCAGAGGGGACGGGUGAGUAACACGUGGGUAACCUCCCAUCAGAGGGGAAAACACUUGGAAACAGGUGCUAAACCGAUACUGAUGGAUGGAACCGCGGUGCAUUCGCGAGUUGGUGAGGUAACGGCUCACCAAGGCCACGAUGCAUCGCCGAGCUGUGGGGGUGAGCAGCCACACUGGGACUGAGACACGGGCCAGAAUCCUACGUGAGGCAGCAGUAGGGAAUCGUCGGCAAUGGGCGAAAGUCUGACCUAGCAACGCCGCAUGAAUGAAGAAGGUUUUCGGAUCGUAAAACUCUGUUGUCAGGGAGGCGGUAUCUAACCAGAAAGCCACGGCUAACUCCGUGCCAGCCGCCGCGGUAAUGC